GGGGAAUAUUGGACAAUGGGCGCAAGCCUGAUCCAGCCAUGCCGCGUGAGUGAUGAAGGCCUUAGGGUUGUAAAGCUCUUUUAGCAGGGACGAUAAUGACGGUACCUGCAGAAAAAGCCCCGGCCAACUUCGUGCCAGCAGCCGCGGUAAUACGAAGGGGGCUAGCGUUGCUCGGAAUCACUGGGCGUAAAGCGCACGUAGGUGGGUCGUUAAGUCGGGGGUGAAAUCCCAGAGCUCAACUCUGGAACUGCCUUCGAUACUGGCGACCUUCGAGUUCGGGAGAGGUGAGUGGAACUGCGAGUGUAGAGGUGAAAUUCGUAGAUAUUCGCAAGAACACCAGUGGCGAAGGCGGCUCACUGGCCCGAUACUGACACUGAGGUGCGAAAGCGUGGGGAGCAAAC
rnacentral:rRNA from 1 species